AAAAUCAUACAUUUAUUAAGUUUUCUACUAUUUUUGUUAUUGAUAGUGACGGUUUUAGAAACUCGUUGUUUGUUUCCUUGUUUUACAAAAUUUCAUUAUUUUUUAAUGCAACAGAAAAAUACAAUUCAUGUCUGCCUUUAAUUAGGUUAAGUAACAUGCAUUUUUCGGUUAACUUAUAAAACCAUUGUGUUGAAUAAUGCAUGCGUAAACCCAAAUACAAAACCAUAAACCAUAGUCCAAAAUUAAACUUUACAACCCAAAAAUUGAAUAAAUACUUAUUAACAAUUACCAAUAGUAAAAUAGUCUGAAGUCCAUGCUACAUUCGCAUGUCAGGCCCGAUCCUAGCCUUAAUCAUUACCUGAGAAGUUAAGACUAGAGGGUAAGCUUAAAAUGGCUUAGUGUGAGUCAACAACAACAUAAUCAUACAAUCAGUGAACAAACCAUGCUAUCAUUGUCGAUCUUGGUACAAUGGCAUGUUUAACAUGCAUAUCAAUAGUCAGUGUCAGUAUAUGCCUUGUAUACUUUUCAUUUUCAAUAAUAGUGGUAUGCAUACAUGUUUUCGAUACAGUCAUUUUCACAUAUGGUAUAUAAUUUUGAUUGCAUACAAGCCCAAUAUCAUACAUUACAUUUUAUAUGCUCAACAAUCAGUGUCUCAAAACUUAGUAAGCUAUACAUGCAUGCAAUUCACAUACUUCCAACAAAGCUUAGCAAACAGAAGUUUAUCAUACCAAACAUGCUAUCAUCCAAUUACAUCACAAUGUCAUACAUCACAUUUAGCUCAUACACAUCACAACCAGUCCCAACAGGGCUUUUAACAAUCAAGCUUUCAAGUAGUGUACGUACCUACCUUGGCACUAGAGGUGAUCAUGGGCCUAGAAAAAAAUUCAGGCCCCUUUUUUAGGCCCGGGCUCGGCCCGGCCCUAAAUAUGGGCCUGAAUUUUUUUCCAAGCCCGGCCUGACAGAAAAGUGUGAAGCCUGAGCUCGGCCCGGCCCAUAUUAUUUUUUUUUAGCUUGAGAGCAUGAAAUAAUGACAAAAAAAUAAUAAAGGGAAAAAUAAAAGCAAAGCCUGAUUUAAAAUAAAUAAUCCUACAAAUAAUUGUUUUGUUUUUAUUUUAAAUUUGAAUUUAAAAUAAAUGUUUUAAACGAAGACAAUUUAAUUUAAAGCUUUUUUUUAAAUAUAAAUUAAAGUUUACUAACUUAUUUGGUUCUAAAUUAAAAUUUUAUGUUCUGGAAUUUUAUUUAAAAGAAUUUUGAAUGUAUAUUUAAAAAUUAAAAUACUAUUGAAAUAAAUUAUAAAGCUUAAAAAAUUGUAAACACAGAAACAGAACAGAAGCAUGCAUGAUGCACCAACAGGAGUCAAUUAGUCCACAAUCCACAUGCAUUAUUAUUAAAAUAAUAAGUAUCAUUACAUUGGUUUUGAGUUUGACCAGUGAUUGAUUAUUGUAAUAAAAUUUAAUUUAAACCCUAAGAUAGUUUAUAAGAUAGUAAACAAUCCUGAAGGUCUAAAGCUCAUGCAACUGUCAUUGUUCAUCCACAAACGAGGGUAAACAACAUAUCGAGCUAAAUGCCAUAAGUGUAUCCAUUGAUGCUUAGAGUUGAAUUGUUUAUAAACUCAAUGAAACCUAGUAAAGCACUCGUGUGUAUAAAGCUGUCUGUAUAUUAAAAGCUCAUGGCUUCGAACUCAGACAAUGGGAACUAAAGUAUAUAUGCAUUUUUACAUAGUAAUGAAAUAAUAAACCUACAAGAAGAAGAUGCAGCAGUGAAUAAGAAGAAGAAGAAGAAGAAGCUUACCAUAAAGAAGAGGCUACCGAGACUGCAAAUGAAGAAGCAAAAAUGAAGAAGCUGAGCUGAGCUUGAGGCUAGCUGGAGGUGGCCAACAGACAAAUAGGAUUUGGGUGGAUCGGUGGAGGUGGUGGUGAGGUGAGCUAGGGAUUUGGGUUUUGGAAAUGGGGAAAAGGGGAGGAAGGCAGCAGCACGAAAUGAUAA
rnacentral:lncRNA from 1 species